rnacentral:rRNA from 1 species
UACGGGGGGGGCAAGCGUUGUUCGGAAUUACUGGGCGUAGAGGGCUCGUAGGCGGCCAACUAAGUCAGACGUGAAAUCCCCAGGCUCAACCUGGGAACUGCGUCUGAUACUGGAUGGCUUGAAUCCGGGAGAGGGAUGCAGAAUUCCAGGUGUAGCGGUGAAAUGCGUAGAUAUCAAGAGGAACACCUGAGGUGAAGACGGGUUGCUGGGCUGAUACUGACGCUGAGGCGCGAAAGCUAGGGUAGCAAACGGG